CCAAGUAACUAAGCGUGCAUGGAGGAUGCUUAGGCGUCAAGAGCCGAUGAAAGACGUGGCAUAGCUGCGAUAAGCCUCGGGGAGCUGCUAAGUAAGCAUUGAUCCGGGGAUUUCUUAGAUGCGGAAACGCGAUCAGGGUCAUGCCUGAUCAGCCCAUGGUGAAUCCAUAGCCAUGGGCGGGGAACGCAGGGAAUUGAAACAUCUUAGUACCUGCAGGAAUAGAAAGAAAACUCGACUCCCUCAGUAGCGGCGAGCGAACGGGGAAUAGCCCAAACCGUUGUCAUGUAAGGUUGUGGCCGUUGUGCCAGCGGUGUUGUGGGGCCUUCCGGUAGUGCCACUGAACUACCAAGGAGUUACAAAUCUUCGAGCUAGGCAAAGGGUCUGGAAAGUCCCGCCGUAGAGAGUGAUAGCCUCGUAGCUGAAAGUUCGGAGACUCCUGAAGUCACCCCAAGUAGUGCCAGACACGAGAAACCUGGUGUGAAUCCACGGGGACCACCCCGUAAGGCUAAGUACUCCUUGACGACCGAUAGCGACUAGUACCGUGAGGGAAAAGUGAAAAGCACCCCUUUGAGGGGAGUGAAAAGUACCUGAAACCAUGUACGUACAAGCGGUCGGAGGCCUAUGCCCCUUGUGGGAAUGGCUGACGGCGUGCCUUUUGCAUAAUGAUCCGGCGACUUACGAUACAGGGCAAGGUUAAGCGUCUCCGGCGCGAAGCCGAAGCGAAAGCGAGUGCGAAUAGCGCGAUUCAAGUCAUGUGUCGUAGACCCGAAAGCAGGUGAUCUAACCAUGGGCAGGGUGAAGCGGAUGUAACAGUUCGUGGAGGCCCGAACCAAUGAAGGUUGAAAACUUCUUGGAUGACUUGUGGUUAGGAGUAAAAAGCUAAUCGAACCUGCAGAUAGCUGGUUCUCCCCGAAAUAGCUUUCGGGCUAGCGUCGGGUAACAUAGCGCACGGGGGUAGAGAUACUGAUUGCGACUGGGGGGCCACCAGCCUACCCACCGCUACCAAACUCCGAAUACCGUGCGUGGUACCCCGGCAGUCAGACAGUGGGCGAUAAGGUUCAUUGUCGAAAGGGAAACAGCCCAGACCGCCAGCUAAGGUCCCCAAGUAACACUAAGUGUAAGAAAGGAGCUGGGAUUGCUAAGACAGCCAGGAUGUUGGCUUAGAAGCAGCCAUCAUUUAAAGAGUGCGUAAUAGCUCACUGGUCGAGCAGUCCUGGGCCGAUAAUGAACGGGACUCAAGUGUUACACCGAAGCUGCGGAUCCAAGAGGCCUGGUGCCUCGUGGGUGGUAGGGGAGCGUUGAAUUUGCGUCGAAGCCGUACGGGAACGAGCGGUGGAGCGGAUUCAAGUGCUUAUGCCGGAAUGAGUAACGAUAAACAGGGUGAGAAUCCCUGUCGCCGAAAACCUAAGGUUUCCUGGGGAAGGUAAAUCCGCCCAGGGUUAGUCGGGACCUAAGGCGAGGCCGAAAGGCGUAGUCGAUGGACAACGGGUCAACAUUCCCGUACUACCGGAGAUCAUUUGACCGAUGGUGUGACGGAUUCACAAGAAUCGUCGGGGCGAUAGUCGUCCCCGUGCAAGCCUGAGGAACGCAGUAGGUAAAUCCGCUGCUUCAGUUCCAGGGGUGAUGCCGAGGCUUCGGCCGAAGCGAUUGGAGUGGGUUCCUGGAAAAGCAUCUAGGGAGAUCAAAGGUACCCGUACCAAAACUGACACAGGUUGGUAGGAAGAGGAUUCCAAGGCGCUCGAGAUAACCUCAGUUAAGGAACUCGACAGAUUGGCCCCGUAAGUUCGCGAGAAGGGGCGCCCCUCGGGGUGUAGGUGCUUGCCACCGAAGCUCUAGGGGGUCACAGAAAAUCGGGGGUGGCGACUGUUUACCUCAAACACAGGACUCUGCAAAGUCUUAAAGACGAAGUAUAGGGUCUGACGCCUGCCCAAUGCCGGAAGGUUAAGAGGAGUUGUUAGCUUCGGCGAAGCAGCGAAUUGAAGCCCCGGUGAAUGGCGGCCGUAACUAUGACGGUCCUAAGGUAGCGAAGUUCCUUGUCGGGUAAGUUCCGACGCGCACGAAUGGCGUAACGACUGCCCCAUUGUCUCAACUGAGGGCUCGGUGAAAUUGUAGUCGAGGUGAAGAUGCCUCGUAGCCGCACCAAGACGGAAAGACCCCGUGAACCUUUACUGUAGCCUGAUAUUGGGCUCUGGCACAGCAUGUGUAGCAUAGGUGGGAGGCUUUGAAGCGGGCACGCUAGUGUUCGUGGAGCCACAAUGUGAAAUACCACCCCUGCUGUGUUAGUGUUCUAACUCGGUCCCGUGAAUCCGGGCCGAGGACAGUUUCAGGUGGGCAGUUUGGCUGGGGCGGUCUCCUCCCAAAGAGUAACGGAGGAGCCCGAUGGCACACUCAGAGUGGUUAGCAAUCACUCGUAGAGCGUAAGGGUAUAAGUGUGCUUAACUGUGAGACUUAUCAGUCGAGCAGGUGUGAAAGCAGGGCCUAGUGAUCCGGCGAAUUCCGAGUGGAAGGGUCGUCGCUCAUCAGAUAAAAGGUACUCCGGGGAUAACAGGCUGAUCUCCCCCAAGAGUCCACAUCGACGGGGAGGUUUGGCACCUCGAUGUCGGCUCAUCGCAUCCUGGGGCUGGAGAAGGUCCCAAGGGUUUGGCUGUUCGCCAAUUAAAGCGGUACGUGAG
rnacentral:rRNA from 1 species